UACGUAGGGUCCGAGCGUUGUCCGGAAUUACUGGGCGUAAAGAGCUCGUAGGUGGUUUGUCGCGUUGUUCGUGAAAACUCACAGCUCAACUGUGGGCGUGCGGGCGAUACGGGCAGACUUGAGUACUGCAGGGGAGACUGGAAUUCCUGGUGUAGCGGUGGAAUGCGCAGAUAUCAGGAGGAACACCAGCGGCGAAGGCGGCGCUCUGGGCCGGUACUGACGCUGAGGAGCGAAAGCGUGGGGAGCAAACAGG
rnacentral:rRNA from 1 species